AACGAACGCUGGCGGCAUGCCUAACACAUGCAAGUCGAACGAUGCUUUCGGGCAUAGUGGCGCACGGGUGCGUAACGCGUGGGAAUCUGCCCUUGGGUUCGGGAUAACAGCGGGAAACUGCUGCUAAUACCGGAUGAUAUCGCGAGAUCAAAGAUUUAUCGCCCGAGGAUGAGCCCGCGUUGGAUUAGGUAGUUGGUGGGGUAAAGGCCUACCAAGCCGACGAUCCAUAGCUGGUCUGAGAGGAUGAUCAGCCACACUGGGACUGAGACACGGCCCAGACUCCUACGGGAGGCAGCAGUGGGGAAUAUUGGACAAUGGGCGCAAGCCUGAUCCAGCAAUGCCGCGUGAGUGAUGAAGGCCUUAGGGUUGUAAAGCUCUUUUACCCGGGAUGAUAAUGACAGUACCGGGAGAAUAAGCCCCGGCUAACUCCGUGCCAGCAGCCGCCGUAACA
rnacentral:rRNA from 1 species